GACGAACGCUGGCGGCGUGCCUAACACAUGCAAGUCGAACGGAAAGGCCCGGCUUUUGUGGGUUGCUCGAGUGGCGAACGGGUGAGUAACACGUGAGUAUCCUGCCCUUGACUGUGUGAUAACUUCAGGAGACUGGGGCUAAUACCGCAUAUGAUCUCUUGCUGCAUGGUGGGGAUUGGAAAGUUUCGGCGGUUGGGGAUGGACUCGCGGCUUAUCAGCUUGUUGGUGGGGUAGUUGCGUACGAAGGCUUUGACGGGUAGCCUGCAUGGGAGGGUGACCGGCCACAAUACGCCUGAGAUACGGACCAGAAUCCAACGGGCGGCAGUGGUGGGGAACAUUACGCAAUGGGCGGGAGCGUGAUGUAGCAACGCUGGGUUCGGGAUAACGGCUUACGGGUUGUGAACAGCUUUGGCAUGUGCCGUAGACUGCGUGACGGUAAUGAGUCAAAAAGCACCGGCUAACUACGUG
rnacentral:rRNA from 1 species